rnacentral:rRNA from 1 species
UGGGGAAUAUUGGACAAUGGGCGCAAGCCUGAUCCAGCCAUGCCGCGUGAGUGACGAAGGUCUUCGGAUUGUAAACUCCUGUUGCCCGGGACGAAAUGUUCAGACCUAAUACGUCUGAGUUUGACGGUACCGGGUGAGGAAGCCCCGGCUAACUCUGUGCCAGCAGCCGCGGUAAUACGUAGGGACCAAGCGUUGUUCGGAUUUACUGGGCGUAAAGGGCGCGUAGGCGGCAUGACAAGUCACUUGUGAAAUCUCUGGGCUUAACCCAGAACGGCCAAGUGAUACUGUCGCGCUAGAGUGCAGAAGGGGCAAUCGGAAUUCUUGGUGUAGCGGUGAAAUGCGUAGAUAUCAAGAGGAACACCUGAGGUGAAGACGGGUUGCUGGGCUGACACUGACGCUGAGGCGCGAAAGCCAGGGGAGCAAACGGGAUUAGAUACCCUAGUAGUCCCUGAGCGGGCUGGCAAGGCGCAU